GUGAAAACACGGCCAGUGGGAGCGGGGCUCUGGCGUCACAGACAUCAGAACUGCAGACACCUGGCCCAGGCGUCCGUGUUCUGUGUGUCCUGCGGCCACCGAGGCUGCUCACAGACAUGAGAGGCCAUUCCCCACCCAGAACCAUUGGUGACAAACAGGCAGCCGCCUCCUCUAACCUCCGCAGGAUGGGGCCCGGCCUGGCAGCUGCCUCCAGUGGCCAACGUGGGCCUCUGUGGACAAGGCAGGUGCAGCUAAGGCUGCAGGCGCAAAGCAAUCCCAGGGUGGGCGGGCAGGGGGCCACCUGAACCUCUGUAACAGCAAAACAGUGUUUUCCUGGGAUCUCCCUCUUCCUGUUGUUCUGUGAAAGCACCUACCAGCCAUGUGAAAAGCCACCCGGCUAACCACCCACAUGCAGGCGUCUGGCACAGGGUGGCUCACUGGCCGUUCAGGGGUCGGCCCCUCCUGAUGUUUGCAUGUCCCCCUUGUGUGAAACUCAGAUUUAAUUUGGUGAUUAUUAAAGUGCAGGAACCUGGGGCUGGUAGAGGUUUUUUGUCCACAGAUUUUGCAAAGUGCGGUUAAAAAAAAAAUGCAUACGCUUUGUUGCUACCAAUAAAGAGAAAAGGAAAGAAAAGAACUUUGGUAGAGAAACAUCGAGAGAUUUUAAUAUGGAGAUGGGGUGGGAAUUCGACCUUGGAAAACACAAGCGAUCACGUGAAUAGGAUUUUGGCCUUUUCUAACUUAGUGUGUGCUCUGCUCUUAAGAUAAAUACACACACACAGAGAUAGACAUGGCAUUUCAUUUUCGGACAGUACAUUCACGUGUUCGAAAAUUAAAACAACAUACAGAGUAAACUCUUGCCCCAUCUCUCCCAUCUCCCAUGCCCUCAGACGGACCGCUAGUUUCUUGUGCUCCUUUUUACAAUGUAAGCAAAUAGGAAUUUCAAUUCUUAUUAUAACAGAGGAGAUAAUAGCAUGCAAUACAUACCUUGCUGUACCUUGUUCUCUUGAAUAGUAAACCCUGGAGGUGUUCUCAUGCCCUUUUUUUUUGGCUGCACGGUGUUCCACUGCACAGAUGUACCCACUUUGCGGGGUCCCCUGCCGACUCUUCCGGGCUUCUUCAGCGUGAAUUUCAUGUGCAUGAGUCCCUUUGGGCAUGGGAGAUCCGUCUUCUGCAGGGUCCAUUCCCAUCGGGAUUGCUUGGUCACACGUCGUGUGCCUUUGGCCUCUUGGAGGAUGUCGCCAGGUUAAUGCUGUAGGAGCCCUUCCUCCCUGCAUCUCAGAGGGCCACGUUCAGGGUGGUUUGUUUCCCACCCCACCUCUCAGUAGAGGCUGGUCCAGCAUUUGACAUUUUCACAACCAGAUAGGUAAACGGUUUCUCUGUCAUUUUAGUUUGCAUUUUUCUAAUCAGUUGAACAUCUUUUAUAUAUUUAAAGGCUAUUUUUAUGUCCUUUUCUGUGUUCUUUUCAUUUGCCCUUUUAAAAUGAUUGUGUCGGCUGAGCGUGGUGGCUCACACCUAUAAUCCCAGCACUUUGGGAGGCCGAGGCGGAUCACAAGGUCAGGAGUUCGAGACCAGCCUGGCCAAUGUAGUGAAACCCUGUCUCUACUAAAAAUACAAAAAGUUAGCCGGGUGUGGUGGCGGGCCCUGUUUUCCCACCGACUCGGGAGGCUGAGGCAGGAGAAUUGCUUGAACCCAGGAGGCAGAGGUUGCAGUGAGCCAAGAUCAUGCCACUGCACUCCAGCCUGGGCGACAGAGCAAGACUCUGUCUCCAAAAACAAAAAUAAAAAUAAAAAAUAAUUGUGUCAUUGGUCAUUUUCUUCUCAAUUGUAUAUUAGGGAGAUUAAUUUUUGCCUGCGAUAUGAGUUACAAAAUAUUUAUUACUAAUUUGUUCUUUGUUUUCUGACUUUGCUUUUGACAUUCUUGAGCUUUAUUGAGAUAUAAUUCAUAUACCACACAGUUCACCCAUUUAAGGUGUACAACUUAGUGGUCUUGAAUAUAUUCACAGAGUUCUACAGCCAUCACCACAAUCAAUUUUAGAACAUUUUUAUCACCUCAAAAGAAAGUCCAUACCCCUUAGCAGUCACUCCCCGUCCCCUUCAGCCACCCCCACUCCCAGCCACUGGCAACCACAAAACUGUGUUCUGUCUCCAUGGGUGUAUUAGUGCGUUCUCACGUUGCCAUAAGGAAAUACUUGAGACUAGGUAAUUUUAAAGGAAAGAGGCUUAAUUGACUCACAGUUCAGCAUGGCUGGGGAGGCCUUAGGAAACUUACAGUCAUGGCGGAAGGGGAAGCAAACACAUCCUUCUUCAUAUGGCGGCAGGUGAGAGAAGUGCUGAACAAAGCCCCUUAUAAAACCAUCAGAUCUCGUGAGAACUAACUCACUAUCACGAGAGUAGCACGAAGGUAACUGCCCCCAUGAUUCAGUUACCUUCCACUGCGUCCCUCCCACGAAAUGUGGGGAUUAUGGGAACUACAAUUCAAGAUGAGAUUUGGGUGGGGACACAGCCAAACCGUAUCAGUGGGUUUCCCUAUUCUGGACAUUUCAUAUCAAUGGAUCCAUGAAAUAUGUGGCCUUUUGCAUCUGGCUUCCUUCACUUAGCAUCAUGCUUUCAAGGGUCAUCCACACCGUAGCAUGUAUCAGUAUCUCCUUUCUUUUUAUGGCCAAAUAAUAUUCUGUUGUACAGCUAGACCACAUUUCAUGUGUCCAUUCACCAGUUGAUAGACAUUUGGGCUGUUUCUACUUUUUGGAUAUUUUGAAUAACACUGUUGUAAAUGUUUGUGUACAAGUUUCUACAUAGACAUAUGUUUUCAUUUCUUAGACAUGGAAUUGCUGGGUCUGAUGGUAACUCUGUGUUGAACAUUUUGAGAAGCUGCCAAACUGUUCUCCGCAGCGACUGUACCAUCUUACAUUCCUACCAGUGCUUUUGGCAUUUUUUGACAUGUAAAUGUUUUUAUCAAAUUUAUUACUUAUUUCUUUUAUGGCUCUGGAUUUUGAGUUUUAGAAAGGCCUUUUUUUCUCACGAGAUGAUAAAGGAAGUCUCCUGUUUUCUUCUAGUACUUUGAUGGGUUAUGUUACACUCUUUGGUCUGUGUUGAGUUUAUCUGGUAUGUGGUGUGAGUAUGGAGCCAGCAUUUUCUUUAAUGUAGCUGCCUGUCUGUUUCAGUACCAUCUGUUGAGAAUGCCAUCUUUUCUUCUCUGCUUUGAGAUUCUACCCUUAUCAUAUACUAAACCGGGUCUAUUUCAGAACAUUCUGUUUCAUUGGUCUCUGUAGGUAUGCAUGUACGUUCAUACUAAUAUGCUGUUUUAGUUAUGGAGGCUUAGUAAUGUGUUUUGGCAUAUUAUAUGGUACGGGCUAGUCUAGGAGGGUUAGCUUCCCCACUGUUCUUUACAGAGUUUUCCUGACUAAUCUCACUUGUUUAUUUUUUCAUUAAAAACUUGAAAAUCAGUCUGUCUUAAGACCAUGGGGAUUGGGAGUAUUGUUGAUAUUUUAGAUUGGGAUCAUAUUAGACUUCUGAAUUAAUUUAGGGAGAAUUUACACCUUUUUGAGGUUGAGUCUUCCUAUCCCUCACACAGGAUUUAUUUCUAUUUGUUCAGUCUUGCUUUUCUGUUCUUUAAAGUUUUUUUUUUUUUUUCUAUCAAUUUUCCCAGUUCUUAUUAUAAGUUCAUUCCUGGGUAUUUUAUCUUUUGUGUUGCUGGCAUAUCUUCUUGCUCUUGAAAGUAGAUUGUUGUUAGCAAGAGUGGUUGGAUAUAAGCAGAGCUCCCAGACCCCUUUGCUGUGGCCUUGCUGUGUCCACAGAGAGCCAGAGGCACAGUUGUGGGGUGGAGCGUGGGAAGGGGGGAUCGCACCCUUGGUGGUCUCUAUUUAUCCCUCCAAACACUUCUGAGGCUUUGAGGCUCUUAUUAGCCUUCGUACACAUGAGAAACUGAGGCACAGAAGUUUAAUGAUUUGCCAAGUUCCCUCGGGGCACACUUGAGCUGGGAUUCCAGCCCAGGCCUGUCCAGCCCAUACUACCCCACCGUCCUGCCAGAGGACCGCAUGCUUUCCUGAGCACAGCCCAGAGUGAUGAGGUGUGAUUGCGCAUCACGCAGCUGUGCAGUCUGGGGCACGCCACUUCUCCUCACUCGGCCUCUGUCUGCUCAUCUGCAAGAGUGGCUAAACCAGUUGGUGAUUUGCUCACUUCUCCAAGAAGAAUCCCCUUUCUCCAGUGUGCCCUCCAUGGAAGGCAAUAUGUGGAACAGAGCUGUGAGCUGCUGGGGUGGAGCCCAGAGGCCGUGCUCAGCAGUCCUGUCUUCAGCACCCCGAUGUGGCCCCAGGCAGCUGAAUGCGAACGAGUGCCCACCAGCCCCUCUGAGAGCCUUGGACAUACCUUCUGCAUCGCUAGUCCUGCUCAGAAGCCACCCCCAAAACUGUGAGCCCUGCUGGUCGACUCUGUUCAAGGUCUGUGGGCGCAGGCAGUACAUUAGCCUCGGCCCCCCGCCAGAACCCUGUGUGCUUUGGAAAGGUCCCUUGACUUUUGUUAGGCAAAGAAUUCUCUUCACGCCAAGCUGCGAGCGAGGUGGUUUCACAAGUCCUGUCCUGAGUGUGUGCUGGCUGGAAUGUACACCACAGAAACAAAAUGUUUGUUUUCCAAUUGUGAGAGCACCGGGAGGCCCUUUGGCGUCAGCUCCCACGCCUUCUGUGUUCGGGCAGGCCAUCUGCCAUGUGGGGCCUGGUGCAGAAACGUCGCCACCGUGUGGCCUGUGGGGUGCCCUCGGAGAGGGGCCACUGGGUUGGCCACCAUUCAGAGGACACGCGUGGCUCGGGCCUCCAAGGUCUGUUCUUACCCACGGCGUCCUGGGGUGUAGGCCUCAGGACCCCAGGGCUGUGCAAACAGAGGCCCAGUUGGGAGGGCCGACCGGGGUGGGCCCUUCCUUCCUACCUACCCUCUGCCCCCAGGCUGCACGAUGCACCCACUGUGAACCAGGCCGUGGCAUGUGGGGUCAGGGUUCCCUGCACGCUUGGCAGGAAAUGGGGUACACACAGGAGCUUGGGCCUGCUUCCGGAGUGGCUGCUGCAGAGGCGGGUUUUGGUGGGACAGAAGGAAUCUGCCAGUGAAGAGGGAGAAAGGGCGGGGCCGUCAGGAUGGUGCUGACCCAGGGCUGGUGCAAAGGGGGUUUAUGUGGCUGAAAGAGGUUUGCUAUAGAAGGAGCUAGAGCAUGAGUGGGAGCAGCAAGGGCGGAGGGCCCAGGAAGCAGAGCCUGAGGAAGAGGGGCCUUGGGAAAGGCCAGCCCGAGAGUGGUGGCCGGGCUCUGGCCUGCGUGGCGGGUUUGGCCCGAUGAGCACCACUCUGGUGAACUUGACAACUCCCCAGGCCAACGGAGUGACUUUCUAGGGCUCCGUUUUGAGGAACCCUCUGUUGCUGAUAGCCCACGGGAUGAGUGGACUCCACAGGGCACCUGCUGGAGCCCACGCUUGCCUUCCUCGGGUCUGGCAGGGAAGAUAGUAGGCUGGGCCUGCUGGCCCUAGGUCCGUCUUCAGAGGCCUGGGAUUUUAGGUGUCUGGGCUGGGGAUGGGCCGUCCCCAAGAUCAACUCCUUCCCCCACUCCUUCAGCCUCCGGAGGCCAUAGGUAAUUUUCCUUAGAGUCCUUGUCCCCAGCUGGGUCCUAGGCCUCGAGUUACCGUAGGCAAGGCCACACUACGUAAAGAAUCCAGUGGGGGGGUGCCCCCAGGAUGCACAGCAUGGGGGCCCCAAGAGAGCCACCAGAGUGGGGACAGCAAGGCCAAGGGAUGGCUGGGGGUGUGGAGACCAUGGAGAGAGCCCCAAGCUGGUGCCACCCUUCCCGAAGUGACUCAGCGUGGCCUGGACUGGCCGCCACAUGGCAUACCUGGCUCUGGCACCACCUGGGCCUCCCAGAUCUGGAGGGGAUGUCAGAUUUGGGGCAAGAUACCUUGUCCACAGAAAAGGAAAAAUGGCGCCUGCCCUGUGAGUCUGACCAGCCUGAGACAGUGCCGCCAAAGUCUGUCCCCUGCUGUACUGGCUCCUGGAACGGGGUGACCACAAUCUGGCUGGCAUGUGGCAGGCGCUCAGUACACAUUUGUUGGCCUCUGCAGAAAUGAGCUAAGGAAACUGUCACAGGAAGGUGGGCACUUUCCAAGUAACUGACCAGGGCCAGCCUUCCACCCUGUAGAUAUUUACCACCCCCAACUGGGCCAUUUGCUUCUAAAACCUGUGGUCUGGGAAGAGCCUUGAGUAGCCAUUGCCAAAUCAGUGGAGCUCCCAGGGCCCUGGAGUACCUUCCCGCUCCUGGCAACUUGAUUUCCCUAUUUUCAGGCCCUGGCAACCUGGCUUCCCCAUCUGGGUUUUGCUGCCAGUGUUGCCCUGAUUCCUGAGGGUAAGGAGGCAGUCCAGACUCAGAAGGGCUGCCUCUUUGGGGUCCAAAGGUGGUAAGCAUUUCACAAAAAUGGGCUGGGCAUGAUGCUGUCCCCUGCUUUUCUUUUUUUGGAGAGACAGGGUCUUGCUCUGUUGCCCAGGCUGGAGUACAGUGGUGCGAUCUCGGCUCACUGCGACCUCUGCCACCUGGGCUUCAGUGAUCCUCCCGCCUCAGCCUCCCGAGUAGCGGGGACCACAGGCAUGCGCCGCUAUGUCAGGCUAAUUUUUAGUUUUUUUGGUAGAGAUGGGGUUUUGCCAUGUUGCCUAGGCUGAUCUCAAACUCCUGGGCUCAAGCAAUCCACCUGCCUUGGCCUCCCAAAGUUGUGGGAUGACAGGUGUGAGCCACCCCGCUUGGCUGAUGCUAUCCCUUUUUAAGACUGGGCACCAACACGGCUCUGGGCGAGCAGCUGACCUGGCCUACACAGGAGGUGGCUGGGCAGCAGCAGAAGACCAGAUGCCCGGGGGAAGGGCCCUGCAGAGCCUGGGCAGUCAUCCCCUAGGGAAAGGUUGGCCAUGCCCACAGCCUUCGAGGCAUCUCUAGCACCUGCAGCCUCAGAGGAAAAGAAGCCACCACCGCCUGACCCCUCUGGCCCCAGGGGCAGGGGCAGCAGCUUCCUGUGAGAAAGAGUAUGGCCUUCACGCAAAAUCCAGAUUUACCAGAGAUGGGUUAAAGAUGGGCCAAAAAUAUGCUUGUGCCUUUUUUUCUUUUCUGAAAUAGUUUUUUAAAAAGCCUAGGAAACCACAUGCCUUGCCGUCUUGGUUGUUUCUGUGCCAGCUUCCAGCACAAAUGGGACUUAGAAAAUUUCCAGGCUGUUGGCCAUCCAUUCUCAUAGCCUGGUGUUUUCUUGAUACUUGGAGAAUUCUGUUCUCAUGCAAGCGUCUGUUUGGGGAGGAAAUGCGUCCACUCAGCCAGAGCCUGGGGCCCCUGCAGCUUUCAGCAGGGCAGCUGCCAGGCCAGGCUGGGGACCAGCUCUGCUCGUGACUUGCGAGUUGGGCUUGUUGAUGGCCCUUUCUUAGAGGGACUCGAGGUAGCUCCAUGAAGACCUCUAACAGAGCGCCAUAAAACUGGACUAAAAAGGGAGAGAGCAAGGGAAGGAGGAAACGCAGCUGGUCCCGCCAUGAGGAGCAGUGGCACAGGAGAGAAGUGGUCAUCGCUUGCCCAAAAGGGAGGCACUUGAGCACCUCUGGGAGACGGGCUUGGCGCAGGCAGGGGCCCAGAGGAAGCCUCAUGUGAGCACUACACUUAAGACACCGACUAACCGAGGAGAGGCGUCCCCAGCAACCACCCCUCCCAGCACAUGCCAGGUGGGCUGGGGCCAGGAACUGGACUCCCCACAGGGCCCCGUGGCCAGUCUCUGACCAUGGCUUGACAUUCCCAUUCUAGAAAGAAUAGUAGUACUAAGAAGCAGGUGCAUAACCUAUAACUACAUUAACACCCAGGGUGCUUUUACCUGUGGCUUCAGAUUGGGUCCCUAGAAGCGGGGCCUGAGCCGGGGAUUCUCGUGCCAGUGACACACAGAGGGAUGCUCCCAGCAGGAACCUUCAGGGAGGCGAGGGAAGCCCAUGAACUGCAGAGGCCCAGCAAAGAGGUGGGCUCAGCUGAAGUCGCUUCUCAGCCUGGUGCUUUGGGAGCUGUGAAGUGUGACUAGCACGUGGGACUUGAUCCUGCCCAAGACGAGGGGCAGCUCCUGUCCCUGCACCUGUCGGUCAUUGGCUGGGGGUGACCCCAAAGGGAAAGAGGGUAACCUCCUUCCUAUCCUAGAUCUCCCAGCCCAGAGUAGUUCCGGAAGGGGCAGCCAUGAACUGUCAGAGCCAACACUCACAGCAGUGGAGAGUGGGCACUGCCGUGGGUUUGGGACUCCAGGCGGGACACCAGCAGCCUGGCUUUCCUCUUAGGAUCCUUGCAGUGGCCCUGUGAAGCAGCCUGGCCAGGGACAGCAGUUCUGCUUCCCAGGGGAGGAAAGGGGAAGUGAGGCCACUUGGCCAGUGGAGGAACUCAGUGCCUCCAGCUGCAGAGUCUAGUUUCCCACUCUCCUCUCCGGAACCGUCCAGGUUCAGUGGAGAGCCAGGGCCCAGGGGGUGAGAAUACCCCGGCCUCCUUCGGAGGAGGCAACCAGGACAAAGGGGAGUGGUCACUAUCUGCUCCCAGACAUAUCACCUGACCAGCCAGCUUUGUCUUUGUCACCGGAUGCCCACUCCUGCAUGUGGGGCCGUAGCUCAUGAGUUCUAGGGACAGUAGUCCCUAGACAAAUCCUGGGGCUGUUUCCCCCUCCACUCCCCAGGCCUUGCCCUUCGGAGCCCAGAGUGGGUUCUGGGUCACUACUGAUAAAACAUGUGGUUUAGUUCAGCUCAGGAGAUGUUUCUAGCGUCUCUAUUACGUGUUCACCCUGCUGGCCCAGGAACAGCAGCACCUGGGAGAGGGAAUGAGCUUGUUGGGCUGAGGCUGGACGGAGUGAGUAGCAGUCUGCCUGGCAGCAGUACAGAGCUGAUAUGUUGAGUCGAGUUUCCUGAGGCGGGUCUGGAUUUCAGCUUGUACCUAGAAGGCAAGGACCAGGCCACCUUUGUCUGUAUCCCCGUGGACUCAGGAGAAAGUAUGGGAAUAAAUAUCUGCACAGAACAGCCCUGCAGAAGAGGGGUCAUUGCUCCAAGCUGGGAAGCCCUAGGGAAGCCGGCUGGGGCGGGCUGAGCAGGAAACCCCAGCUGGGGCCAGCGGGAAUGGCCAGGGCCUCUUUGGUGGCUAGAGCUGAGGUCUAGGGGGUCUGAUGGAAAAGGCAGGGCCUCCAUCCCAAAGUUGCCUCUCUAGCAGGCUGCUGUGGUCUGCCUUUCGCAGACUCUAGGAGUAGGUCUUGAUCCAUGUCCCUGGCCACUAGCCUGAGGCCAUAGGGACAGUUCCCACUGAGCUUUUUACCUGGGCAGGCCUGUUCCAGAGUAGGUGGCCCAGCCCAGGGCUGGGGCUGGAUGUCAAGAGAGCAAAAGUCGACGGGCUGGGGGACAGUUGGUCUUGGAGCAGCAGUUUCACCUUGGAAUAAUGUGUUCAUGCAGCACUUUGAACUUAGCCAUUUUGCGGCUUUUUGCAGACAUUUUUGAGGGCACACAGGCCUCCAGGCUUCCAACUUGCCUGUGCAGCGUUCUUCCGUGGGGUAGCUAGAGCUGCUAGGAGACGCUGGGGCGGGACCUUGCCCCGGGGCAUGGAGGGCACAGGGCAGCUGCAGGGCCUGGGUGUGGCACACCCUGGGUGUCUGCAUGGGGGUUGCUCACGAGGGAUGGGGCUCUGGGCAGAACACACACCGCCCCAUUGUGGCAGUCACAUUCCUUCCUGACAGGUGGGGCUCGCCACCAGCUGGGGCAAACAGUGGGUGGUUCUUGGCUUUCUUUUACUGUGGCUGAAAUGGCUGUUUUGAGUCAACGGAGUUCUCAAGGUUUCGCUGGCUUUGUGGCCAAGAAGCAGGUAUAUUUGAAGAAUACUGGAGACUCAGUGGCAUUCUGGGGUUUGCUUGUGACGAGAUUCACCAGCCCUUCCUUGUAGACUCCCCCUGCUUCACAGCAGAAAGGGCCCAAUUAGUCCAGAUAGCCCUGAACACCCUGACUCGGCAGGCAGGCUGGCCGCAGCCCAGAGGUGGAAGAGUUGCCUGGCGCCGUGAUGCCCCUGUGGAUGGAGUCUGCCUCUGUAUUGCCUGUCUGACCUCGGCCCCUUCCAGGGCGCGGUGAGGCAAAAGCCACACGUCUGUGAAAGGUCUAGCUAAUGGGUCUCCAGUGCCCGUGCCUGGCUAUGGCUAAUGCAUAAAGUGUCUUACUUUGUUUGGGCUGCUGUGACAAAGAUGCCUUAGACUGGGGAACUUAUAAACCGCAAAAAUGUAUUUCUUAGUUAGAAGCUGGGAAGUCCAAGAUCCAGGUGCCAACAGGAUCGGGGUCUUGUGAGGGCCCGCUCUUCAUAGUUGGCACUUUCUCACAUCCUUGUCUGGCUGGAGAGGCACCUGCGCUCCCUCCAGUCUCUGUUAUGGGCCCUCAUCCCAUCUGUGAAGGCCCCUACAUGACCUCAUCACCUCCCAGAGGCCCCACCUUUUGCACUGAGGAAUGGCGGGGCGGGGCGGGGGGGGGGCACAAAUUUCGACCGUAGCACCACGGUUAGUGCCAAGACCCACACAAUCAUGGUGGCCAUAAGUUAGGCACCCCCGCUACCUGCGCCUUAUGCCAGAGGAGGUCAGUGGGAAGCUCCGAGCAGGACCGAGAGGGUGAGCAUAGACAAGCGCUGUGCGGCUUCUGUCCGAUUGCGCAGGCUGCGCUCCUACUGCGUUCACGUGCGAGGCCACAGAAAACACCCGCAGCAGGCCACGCCCCAGGCCCCUCACAUGACAGCUCGCAGAAAACGCUGGCACGCGUUCAGGCGUCAGGCACACUCGUCUCAACAGAUGUGGCUGACACCCAAGGCAGUCGGCCUCAGUGCCCUGUCACCCACCUAGAACCUGUUCACGGCAUAUCAUCCGGGCUGCUCUGGCCUUGACUGGACAUGAUUAUUUAUUCUUACACACCAUGGCUUCUAUACAGGCCAAGAAACAGGCUGCUCAGCCAGGGUCAGGAGAAGGUGGGUCUGGGUCCCUGGGGACCUCAGGCCCUGACGCAUCCUGGCCUCACCCUAGGCCGCCUCUGUCGGGGCAGCCUUGCUCUGCAGAGCCCGGGACACACAGCUGAGGCCACCCAGGCUGGGCCGUCUUGCCCCUGUUUUGUGCGCCCGACUCAGUUCUCCUGUCCUGGCUCAGGUCUAGGCCAGUCAAGAGGGUGGCUGAGAAGCAGGAGGAGCCUCAGACCCUCCCCUCGAAAGCACUGGGGCUUCCACCUCACAAGCGUCAGGUUCGCUUUGGGAGCUGCUGGUCCAUCGCCCAGGCCUGGCCAGGGGCAGGCGAGGAUCCUGGUUGUCGAUCCAUCGUCCAGGCCUGGCCAGGAGCCGGUGAGGAUCUUGGGGCUGUUGUGCAGGGGUCGCCGUCUCCAGCUCUCUGCCGUGGUGGGGGGAUUGUGCUGUGUGCACACCACUGGGCUGCAUCGAAUCCCACCAUGGCCCAGAGGGUGGACCUGUGGCUCCUUGGGGGGCCAGCAUCUCCAGUCUAAUGGGUGCCCCUGCCCCUCUCCUGAGUCCCCGUGCAGAGCUCCCCCCAACACCUCAGGCUUCACCUUUCUCAGUUAAUCAAAAGAUUCCAAAAAAAGCAAACCCAUCAGAACGGCUUCCUCCACCGAGUGUUCAGGAACAAUGAGCGUGCCCAUGGCAGGCACACAUACCUUCCUCCAGAGAGAGCGCCUUUUAUUUCCCGUCCGCUGGGGCUGGUUCAACAGCUUGUUGGCUGUGACAGCCAGUGAUCACCUGUAUUUCAAAGAGACACACAAACACUGCAGCCUUUGAAAGAAUCAGGCCCUCGGGACAGGUCUGUGGUCUUGGCGUCGGCAGGUGUGCGGCGAGGGAGGCGGCGGGUGCUCCAAGGCCCUGCUUUGCUCCCCCAGUCCCCACCCAUCUGCUGGGAAGAAACUAAAGGCUGGAAUUCCCCCCUGCCCUCUGUGCGCAGCUCUUCCCUCGCUCCCCUCUGGUAUUCGACCUCGUUGCUGCAGUCCGGUUGGGGAUAUCCAGGACUGCGCCGGGAGUGCCCCUCACUGUCUCAGCCUCUGUCCUGUCUGUGGCGUGUGCAUCAUUCUGAGGAGAAGGCUGGAUUUUGUGCUCUGCCCUGGGAGCAGGUGUUGAACUGCACCCACUUGUGCACAGUGUCAGCCCUACCCCCAUCGCUGGCAGCUGACGCCAAGCAGAACUGGCCUGCAUACCCUUGAAAUCCUGUUCAAGCUCUGCCUGCCGCUCAGGCAGGCCCCAGGCUGCCUCCUGCCCCAGGCCAGCCUGGGAGCACACAGAGGGAGCACACUUGGUGAGCGGAGAAGCUUCUGUGCAGCCUACUGUCUCUCUGGGGCCUCAAAGGGCCCAGCAAGGCAGGCAGGGAGCAUCAUGCACCUCUUCCAGAUGAGGCCCCCAGCUGGCGAGCACCAGAACCUGGAGCCUGGCCCCUCCUCAGCAGAUCAGUCCUCCCAGUCCCCAGCACCUGUGGAGGGCACAGGACCACUCCCUUCUAGAGACUCUGCGUCUCCAGGUGAGGCCGAGAACUCAUGUUUCCCCAGCUCCCUGCAUGGCUCUGUUACACCCCAGGCUCAGGACUUCAGCUCGGCCCCUUCUAGCCUGCGGCUCCUGCUCUGGUUGUGGAGAGUGGGUAGAGCGGGUGUCGUGUCGCCCUGUGUGGGGCAGUUACAGCCUGGGUUUCCUCCAAGUCAGAUCCCUUCUCAAGGGAAGUAUCGCGGCGCGUCAGUUAUGUUUGCAUAGAGGUCCCUGCUUGAAAAACAUCAUUGAUUUCACCACCAUUGUAGGGCGUUUGGGUUACUCUCUUCUUUUCCAUUUAACAGUAUGUUGCCAAAUUUUUACACACAUUUUAGAAUGUUUUCUUAAGAUAAAAAUCCAAGUAGUGAAAUCACCUGAUCAAGGAAUUGGAUAUAUUUUCCCCAGGUUGCGCUUCAGAAAGGCUGUGGACGAAGUGUUAGGAGCAUUCCUGUUUCACCGCAGCCCCCCAGAACUGGGUCUGCAUCAAAUUUGUGUGCUUCGCCGAGUUAGUAGAACUGUCAGACCUUCAGCAGCCUCAGCUGCCUGAGCGCAGGGACAGAGGACUGCGGUCCCCAGAGCCCCUUCGCCCGCCACGUCAGCAACACCAGG